CUUUGACGUUGCAUCAAGAAGUGUCUGGUCAGUGCUUUCCUCCCGGCAGUGCUAACGACCAGAUCGGCAGAGUGACGCCAGUAACUAACCGGCCAACCGAGUGUGCCUCAACUUUCUAACUGGAUGCUGUGCUCGUCAGUAAAGUUAGGGGAGGCUUUGGGACUUGGCGUCGGCGGCGGCGGCGGCGGCGUCGGUUCGGCUCGUCGGUACCUCCCUAGGCGGCGGGGCCGCGGCGAGGCGUGCGCGCAGACGUAGUAGCCGUCGCCGGGCCGGCGCGUGUGCCGCCGGUAGAUGCGCCGGGCGCGCCUCGAGUUCGGGCACGAGAAGCUCCCGACCUACCGGUUGCUGUAGCGGCGCCCCCCGGUCGAGUGGUGGUGGUGGCUGCAGCUCUUGAAGGGCCCGAAGGGGUGGCCGUAGUACCCGUAGCUGGAGUACCUGUUGACGGCGCGGGUCAGGCGGGCGAAGCCGUGGUUGUAGGAGAGGCUCUGGCAGUGGCUCCAGCUGAAGAGGCGGGCGGGGAAGGCGCAGUGGAGGCUGAGGUGGUGGCAGGAGCGGCUGUGGCAGCAGCAGCGGUGCCCGCGGCAGCGCGCGGCGGAGGUGAAGGGGCCCAGGCUGUGGAUGACCUUGGCGCCGUAGAGACGGACGCGGCAGACGCUGCCACGGCGCGGGUAGAAAGCCUUGUUCGGGUAGCGGCAGUAGCCGCCGCCGCUGAGGCGGUACCUCCUCCCGUUGAAGGAGUGGUUCAUGCCUAGGGUUCACAUGUAGUAGGUGGCCGCAUUGUGGAAGGCGCGGAGGUUCUAAUACGUCCGGUCCCGCGAGAGGUUAGGAUUCUAGGUCCAACAGACCCUGAGGCUCCAGCAGCUCCGUAUACCGCCGCGUCCGCCACCGGGUAAUCGACCCCAGUUCCAGUUCUUGAACCACUGACCACUCCAGAGACUGGAAUUCCACAGGCCCGAUAAGAAGCGGUAGCCCGUACUCGGCCGGUGGUUCAAAGAGUUACCCGUCGAACUCGAGGUACGGCUACCCAUACACCGGUGGUUUGGCCCGAGAUGUGUAUGGUCACACCUCCCCCAGAAACGACGACCCCUACACGUCCUAUUCUUCAUAGCAGUCCGUUAAUGACGGCGACCAAGUCCCACGUACCGACGAAACCUGCGCCUCGUGAUAGACGUCCUCCACCCACGUGUCCUCCCGUUCAGACUAACUGAUAGAGAACCACUUCGCUGCUGGUAGUCGAGUGGUUUUCGGCGUGAGACUCGAACUACUUCAACCAACAGGUCAAAGUAAUACGACGAAUCGUCGUGGCAUAAUAAUAAGAGGCAGUAAUCCUCCGGGAUCUAGUUCAAAGUAAUCACACGACCUUUACUAAGCAUAAAUGGUGACCACCUUGAGUUUGACUAAGGAUACAUAGUAACCGCUUUAGUGUAAUAAUAAGACUCUAUAGAUAGACAUAAUGAGGUGGUCUAAGGCGAUACGUGUUCUUUGUAACUACUGAAAACCAGCACCUUAAAACUCGCCAGACCUCAAAACAAAGGGGCGAGGCCAAUAGUGUACGACCAUUCGUGGUUCACCGUAGUGUUUCUAACCGACCUUCGGACCUUCGACUCUUGUACCAGAAGUUUGCGAAGUAUACUACCUCUUUGAACCUUUAGUGAAACCUUGUGAAACAGGGUC
rnacentral:rRNA from 1 species